UUCAAGUUGCGUGGUCGUACGGAGUUAUAUUUACCAAAUUUAAAUAUAAUCGUUUUCAAAAUUAAAUCAAUAUGUCAAUAUGGCUACUGGGUGUAAAAGAUAAAUCUUAUUCUAUCUGUUCUUAAUGAGUUUUAGAUAAUUUUAGUUGUAUUUCUUUGUAAUUUUGUGUUGUACAAAGAUUAAUUUAACAUUUUCUCUGGAAGUAUUAAUUUAGAAAGAUAAUAUGCUUCAUUGGUGUUGUGUUUUGAAGUGUGAAAUGUGAUAAAGUCAAGAUAAAGUUCACUUUUAAACUGAACUAAAUAAGGUAUCUGAGAGACAACAAUGGUUAAAUGCAAUACAAUGUACAGGUUUUACUAGCGAAAUGAAAAUUUUCCUGUCCUGUCUGCUGUAAUCAUUUUAUAUCUGGAAAACCAGCCGACUUAAUAGAUAAUAACAAUCUCCAGAUUGGGUUCCUUCAAUAAAUAUGGUCUAUAAACACAAUGAAAUAAGUUCCCCAAAAUCUAAAAUGGAGUGGUAUCAAAGGAGAAUUAAAGGGAAAAAUAUUCAUAUUGAAAUUAUUUAUAAGGCACUGGACUGUCUUAAAUUCUACAAUAAUACUAGAAUCAGCUGAGAGAAGUGGUCUACAAAAAAACCAGGAAGGAAACGGAAUAUGUGGCUACGAAAGGCAAAAGAAAGGUUUACAAAGCAAAUGUGACACAUUUUUUUGAAAUAUUUAGGAAUAUCAGUAAAUUGCAUUAAAAAAAUGUAUGAAAAGAUUUUGUUCAAUAAAAAUGUUUAUAUUUA